rnacentral:rRNA from 1 species
AUUGAACGCUGGCGGCAGGCCUAACACAUGCAAGUCGAGCGGAUGACGGGAGCUUGCUCCUUGAUUCAGCGGCGGACGGGUGAGUAAUGCCUAGGAAUCUGCCUGGUAGUGGGGGACAACGUUUCGAAAGGAACGCUAAUACCGCAUACGUCCUACGGGAGAAAGCAGGGGACCUUCGGGCCCUGCGCUAUCAGAUGAGCCUAGGUCGGAUUAGCUAGUUGGUGGGGUAAUGGCUCACCUAGGCGACGAUCCGUAACUGGUCUGAGAGGAUGAUCAGUCACACUGGAACUGAGACACGGUCCAGACUCCUACGGGAGGCAGCAGUGGGGAAUAUUGGACAAUGGGCGAAAGCCUGAUCCAGCCAUGCCGCGUGUGUGAAGAAGGUCUUCGGAUUGUAAAGCACUUUAAGUUGGGGGGAAGGGCAGUAAGCUAAUACCUUGCUGUUUUGACGUUACCGACAGAAUAAGCACCGGCUAACUCUGUGCCAGCCGCCGCCGUAA